rnacentral:rRNA from 1 species
AUUGAACGCUGGCGGCAGGCUUAACACAUGCAAGUCGAGCGGGGGAAGGUAGCUUGCUACCGGACCUAGCGGCGGACGGGUGAGGAAUGCUUAGGAAUCUGCCUAUUAGUGGGGGACAACAUCUCGAAAGGGGUGCUAAUACCGCAUACGUCCUACGGGAGAAAGCAGGGGAUCUUCGGACCUUGCGCUAAUAGAUGAGCCUAAGUCGGAUUAGCUAGUUGGUGGGGUAAAGGCCUACCAAGGCGACGAUCUGUAGCGGGUCUGAGAGGAUGAUCCGCCACACUGGGACUGAGACACGGCCCAGACUCCUACGGGAGGCAGCAGUGGGGAAUAUUGGACAAUGGGGGGAACCCUGAUCCAGCCAUGCCGCGUGUGUGAAGAAGGCCUUAUGGUUGUAAAGCACUUUAAGCGAGGAGGAGGCUACUCUAGUUAAUACCUAGGGAUAGUGGACGUUACUCGCAGAAUAAGCACCGGCUAACUCUGUGCCAGCCGCCGCGGUAA